rnacentral:rRNA from 1 species
UACGAGGGGGGCGAGCGUUGUUCGGAAUUAUUGGGCGUAAAGGGUGCGUAGGCGGUUCCGCAAGUCCUGUGUGAAAUCUUCGGGCUCAACUCGAAGUCUGCACGGGAAACUGCGGGGCUUGAGUGUGGGAGAGGUGAGUGGAAUUCCCGGUGUAGCGGUGAAAUGCGUAGAUAUCUGGAGGAACACCGGUGGCGAAGGCGGCAUCCUGGACCAACACUGACACUGAGGAGCGAAAGCCAGGGGAGCAAACGGG